UACGGAGGGAGCUAGCGUUGUUCGGAAUUACUGGGCGUAAAGCGCACGUAGGCGGCUCAGCAAGUCAGGGGUGAAAUCCCGGGGCUCAACCCCGGAACUGCCCUUGAAACUGCUAAGCUAGAAUCUUGGAGAGGCGAGUGGAAUUCCGAGUGUAGAGGUGAAAUUCGUAGAUAUUCGGAAGAACACCAGUGGCGAAGGCGACUCGCUGGACAAGUAUUGACGCUGAGGUGCGAAAGCGUGGGGAGCAAACAGG
rnacentral:rRNA from 2 species